GCUUGUUUGACUCUAGCUGGUUAAACCGUUUGGUUUACGACCACUACGACCCGGGUUCGAUCCCCGCAUUGGACA